rnacentral:lncRNA from 1 species
AUCAGUAGAUGCUAUCAUCACUACCAUCAGAAGCAACACAUAACCCUAACAAAAUAAAAUAAAAUAAAAUCUAAUAAAAUAAAAUAAAAGAAAAGAAAAAGAUUCAGAAACGGGGUUAGAAACUGGGUUGCCUCCCAAGUAGCGCUUCUUUAACGUCAUUAGCUUGACUCGGUAAGGCCCAAACAUCCCUCAGUAGGUGUUGAUUUUUAAGGUUGGUGUUCUUCCUUCCUUCAUGAUACCAAAAAUCUUCUUGUCACCAAAUCUAAGGAUCUUCAAUCUCAAGACCUCUGCUUGCUUUAAUAGUCUUGACAACCCAUAACCUAAUUUUGAAUUUCAUUGAUGUGCCCGGUUAGGGUUUGUCACUUUUCAAAUCAGGGUGUUGGUGAACC